ensembl:lncRNA
AGGCCUUUGAGGUCACCAUGGACUGGACAUCCUUCCGUCACCUGUAACUAAGCAAACUCAAAUACCACAAGAAGCUGAAUACAUUCAGGCCUUUGCUCAGCUACUAUUUUACUAUACCAAUAUACUCAGCAUAUGAGUUAUGAUAUAUAUAUAUUUAACUCAAUCAUUUUAAAGUAGUUAUAACUGCACCUGUAAUAAACAUGUUAAUAUUUGAUUAUGAUAACCCCUAUAAUAUAAAUUAUACCAUAAUGCCAGCAGCUUCAAUAAACACUUUGAUGAAAUGAUAAUUAAUGCAAUGAUAAGAUGAUGGUUAUGUAAAAUAAUCCCUGUAAUUCCACAAUUCCCCCUUUUGACGUCUUCCAAAGACGUCACUACACCAUUCCCAGGUCCACUACCUUCGCUCUGACCCUCUCUAGCCGCCCCCUGACUCAGCAAAUCCGACAACAACCUCAUGUCCUCUAGGUGGUCCAGCAAUAAAACACCAGCUCCCACUUGAAAACACUUCAUGCUUAAGUGGUCUCUGCUCCUUUUCCGGGUCCCUCUCUAGUGGAAAUCUUCUCCUGUAAGGGAUAGAAAACAAACAACCUUUCUCUGCUAUACCUUACUAACUUACUGUGUUCAUCUCAGGUUCCUGUCAUUAUUCAAAGUUGGUUCCCAAUAUCAUAUCAGACAAAAUCACAAACCCUACUGCCACGUCUACUUUGUUAAGCUCUUCAGUUAGACUCUGUACCGGUUUGCCAAUCUGUGUGUACAUGUCUCUACACUUUUAAUGUCUAAAUGCACAUCUGGAUGUAUGUGCACUUGUAUGUCUAUCUGCAUCUAUGAGUCAAUGAUUUGUCAGAUAUAAGGCGUUAAUGUGAGAAAUGUUUCCUGACUAUUAACUCCUGAUACUCAAGGAACUUUCCUGUUUGCCGAACUUCCUAGGUUUGGCCUUUUACACUUUUACUAAAGAAAUUUUAACAGAGCCCAAAAAGAUUUUUAUUUUGCUCCUGUGCUUGACAGGUUAAGCGAAGUUGUUUUUUGUUUUGUUUUGAAAUUUUCC